rnacentral:misc_RNA from 1 species
UUCAUUACUUAAGCACGGCUUGGUGUUAGGCGACGCCCCCUCCUUAGGGACGCGUCUUAAAACGCUCGGCGGCGUGGCACCAGCUUUAAGCGUAGCAGAAUCUUUCGCUUUAAAAGUCGGUGCCCCGUCUACCGGAAGACUUAUUUUUAA